GCUUACGGCCACACCGCCUGGUUCACGCCCGAUCUCGUUUGAUCUCGGAAGAUAAGAUAGGUUGGGCCUGGUUAGUACUUGGAUGGGAGACCGCCUAGGGAUACCAGGUGCUGUAAGGC
ensembl:rRNA 5S_rRNA 5S ribosomal RNA